GAUGAACGCUGGCGGCGUGCUUAACACAUGCAAGUCGAACGAAGCGCUUUUAUUUGAUUUCUUCGGAAUGAAGAUUUUAGUGACUGAGUGGCGGACGGGUGAGUAACGCGUGGGCAACCUGCCUCAUACAGGGGGAUAACAGUUAGAAAUGACUGCUAAUACCGCAUAAGACCACAGUACCGCAUGGUACAGGGGUAAAAACUCCGGUGGUAUGAGAUGGACCCGCGUCUGAUUAGGUAGUUGGUGGGGUAACGGCCUACCAAGCCGACGAUCAGUAGCCGACCUGAGAGGGUGACCGGCCACAUUGGGACUGAGACACGGCCCAAACUCCUACGGGAGGCAGCAGUGGGGAAUAUUGCACAAUGGGGGAAACCCUGAUGCAGCGACGCCGCGUGAGCGAUGAAGUAUUUCGGUAUGUAAAGCUCUAUCAGCAGGGAAGAAAAUGACGGUACCUGACUAAGAAGCACCGGCUAAAUACGUGCCAGCCGCCGCCGUAAUAC
rnacentral:rRNA from 1 species